rnacentral:rRNA from 1 species
GACGAACGCUGGCGGCGUGCUUAACACAUGCAAGUCGUACGGUAAGGCCCUUUCGGGGGUACACGAGUGGCGAACGGGUGAGUAACACGUGAGUAACCUGCCCACAACUUUGGGAUAACGCUAGGAAACUGGUGCUAAUACUGGAUAUGUGCUACUGCUGCAUGGUGGGGGUUGGAAAGCUCCGGCGGUUGUGGAUGGACUCGCGGCCUAUCAGCUUGUUGGUGGGGUAGUGGCCUACCAAGGCGGCGACGGGUAGCCGGCCUGAGAGGGUGACCGGCCACAUUGGGACUGAGAUACGGCCCAGACUCCUACGGGAGGCAGCAGUGGAGAAUAUUGCACAAUGGGCGCAAGCCUGAUGCAGCAACGCCGCGUGCGGGAUGACGGCCUUCGGGUUGUAAACCGCUUUCAGCAGGGACGAAGCUUUUUGUGACGGUACCUGCAGAAGAAGCACCGGCUAACUACGUG